rnacentral:precursor_RNA from 15 species
CAUCAUCAAGGAUCAAUCAAGUUAAACGUUCGGUGGUUUUAUUACGGUGGUUGCGAUUUUUACAAUCACCGGGUAGAAAUCAUCUCAUGUUUAACCAAAUUCAACAACCAAAUACCA